UACGGAGGGUGCGAGCGUUGUCCGGAUUUAUUGGGUUUAAAGGGUGCGUAGGUGGCUAAUUAAGUCAGUGGUGAAAUACAGCCGCUUAACGGUUGAGGUGCCAUUGAUACUGAAUAGCUUGAAAUAAUUGGAGGCUGCCGGAAUGGAUGGUGUAGCGGUGAAAUGCAUAGAUAUCAUCCAGAACACCGAUUGCGAAGGCAGGUGGCUACGAUUUAUUUGACACUGAGGCACGAAAGCAUGGGGAGCAAACAGG
rnacentral:rRNA from 1 species